AAACUCAAAGGAAUUGACGGGGGCCCGCACAAGCGGCGGAGCAUGUGGAUUAAUUCGAUGCAACGCGAAGAACCUUACCUGGGCUUGACAUACACCGUACCGGGCUAGAGAUAGUCCUUCCCUUGUGGCUGGUGUACAGGUGGUGCAUGGUUGUCGUCAGCUCGUGUCGUGAGAUGUUGGGUUAAGUCCCGUAACGAGCGCAACCCUUGUCUUAUGUUGCCAGCACAUUAUGGUGGGGACUCAUGAGAGACUGCCGGGGUCAACUCGGAGGAAG
rnacentral:rRNA from 1 species